rnacentral:misc_RNA from 1 species
GAUAGUUUACCUGAGAGCUUGGGGAAUCUAAGACGUUUGGAGAAGCUGGAUGUAGGUGAAACUGCUGUAGGAGAACCACCAUCCUCCAUCGGACUAUUGGAAAAUCUGUCUUUUCGUGGAAGUAAGCCAAUAGCAUUUUGUUGGCUCUAUAAGUGGUUGUGCAUAUUUGGAAUAGCACAUGAUCGUGUGGGUUUAUCAUUGCCUUCUUUAAAAGGUU